UUUACUACAACAUUGAAUAUAAUCAUUUCAAUUAAUCGCUUAGACAGUAGGACGUUAAACCCCAUUUCUUUUCACUUCGCUUAGAAUAUAUACAAUGGUUACAAUGUUCAACAUUACGUCCUCUAUGCGUUGUACUCAGCGCGUAUAGUGUACAAGAGCCAUGUGAUUGGUGGAUAAAAAUAGAAAUAAAAUACGCCGGUAUAUCAAUAUGCUGUCACAACCACGUGCAAUACUAUAACUCCAACGUCAAAUCGAACACAGCUACAAUCACCAUGCUUUACUCCGAUACAUUACAGUUAUCUAAACGUUUACCAAACGUUGAUGAUGUUUUAGAUUGUUCUAAUUUCAUCGUUUCAGAUAGUAAACAGACUGAGUAUUAUAACUUUGACCAAUUCGAGAUGAUAGCUGACGAGAAAUCUAUCCUACCCGAUUUUGACUUGCUGAAUGAUUUGAUGGAAACGAGGGAAGCAAGUUGUUCCAACACUAAUAUUCCCGCAACCAUCAAUGAAGAAAUGGAAGCACAAAAUGUUGCCGAUGUGCCAGAGUCAUCUGAUACAGGAAGCGACCAGUUAGCGUAUGACGAGAAGACGGUAGCAGCUGUAUUGGCUAGUUUAGAAACCAACAGCGUAACACCGAUAAUAAAAGAGGGUUUACGAUCAUGUAUCCAAACAAAACGACUCCAGGAAGGAAAAGAGGAGUUGGAAAUUAAAUUCACUCCAUAUACAAAACGAGAGCCCGAAACGGACGAAGAAGUUGCUCGAGCUGCGAAACGUAAAGAACAAAACAAAAUGGCAGCACGACGUUUCAGACAACGUCAAAAAGAUGUGGGCGAUAAAUACAUAAAGAAAAUUCACCGUCUUGAAACUUCUAACACCACCCUCCAAGCAGAGAUUGCCAAUCUUCGACGGGCGAAAGCAGAAUUACAGCAACUCCUCACAAGCCAUUUAUCAGUAUGUCCCAACAAUCCAGUCGUUGCCUGGCCGUGAAAUGGACUUUUCACAUAAUGACGGAUAACACAAAUAACUACAAAAUGAGGAACUUAAUUGUUCGCGAUUUCUGCUAGUCAAAAACAUGUCGAAUAACUUUUGUCGUCGUUCAUAAGACAUCAUGGCUAAAUAAAAACUGACAUUCAGGAACAAACUUUGGUUUGCGAUGACAGAAGUUUCGACAUACGCAUCUUUUCCACAUGGUGCUAGAGAAGAAGGAGGUGGGCAUCUAUUCUAAUAGCUAUAGAAUAGAAGGAAGAACGUCCUGGUUUCAGCUACAAAACAAAAUCUCAAAGAUAAACACAAUCUGAUCUUUAUACAAUAGAUUUAGCCAUGUUUUCUCUUAUAUAGAAUAAAACUAAUGCAAUGAAGUUAGCUCUCGAAACGGGAAUAUAGUUUGGUAAUAGUAACCUAUUCUGAUCAUCUGAAAAUGUUAUUUUAUUUUUAGAUGUGGAAUAAGUUCAUUAUAAAUAACUGUGAUAAAAUUGCAUCAAAAAGUUUUAUUUUAUGUAAAUGAAAAAAAGAGACUUUCUCAUUUAUCAUGACACCAUGACUGACCUUCAAUAUUUUGUGUACAUGUAAAUGAAAAAAGAGACUUUCUAAUUAAACAUUUUAAAACAUAUACUUUUCUUAUCAAAUAUUGAAUCAAAGUUAAGAAACUUUCUCAAUAAACAUGACUGUAUCAUUACUAAUCAUAAAUAUAUUAAAAUAUAUUCGUAUAUGCUCAAUUUUGUGAUGUAAUUGUAUAUGUACCUGUAGAAAUUGUGACGUGGGUAAAUGAUAUACAGGUAAUCCAUAUAUACGAAGUACGUGUAUCUUCUAAGGUAUUCAAUAUUACCUCAUAUAGAUGUAGACCCUAUAUUGUCUUCUAUAGUAAAGGUAUACAUUUAUAAUAUUACUUGUAUGUAUUUUAAGUGUUUAUUUAUAUUAUGUACAUAACUUUUUGUUUAAAAUGCACAAUAACAUUAUACGUGUACAUUAUGAAUUCCAAUAUUCAAAAAUGCACAAUAAACAGGAUGUAUUCAAACAAUGGUGUAUAUCCUCAGGUAUUAUUAAAUCUGUACAUGUAUUUAAAUGACAUAAUAUAUUUUAUUUUAUGGGCUGCACAGCCGUUGCAUUUAUAAUUCAUUUUCUAGAAUAGAACAUUAUUUAGUUUUAAAAUGGACAUUUAUGCUUAAAUCAUUCAGGGAAAAUCAAGCCCAUGUCAUAUAGAAAAGUUUGAACGUUUUAGAUAGACCUGUGAAGUAAAGUUCAUAAUAGUCAAACUUGUAUAUACUUUUAACUGCCAAACAUGGUAUAUAUGUUAUGUUCUAUGACGAAUAAUUGUUUACCAUCGAUAAUAUUAUGCUGUCUUUGCCCAUAUUUAGUAAUGCGUCUAUUUAUAAUUAUUGACCAAUGGCUGUGUCAUGUUCCAUAUAUACAGAUUAUGUUGUUAGUCUUUAUA